rnacentral:rRNA from 1 species
CACAAGCGGUGGAGCAUGUGGUUUAAUUCGUAAGCAACGCGAAGAACUUACCAGGUCUUGACAUCCCGAUGCUAUUUUUAGUAGAUAGAAAUUCCCUUCGGGGCUUUCUGCAAGGUGCUGCAUGGUUGUCGUCAGCUCGUGCCGUGAGGUGUCGGGUUAAGUCCCAUAACGAGCGCAACCCUUAUCGUUAGUUGCCAUCUGGUAAUGCAGGGGACUCUAGCGAAACUGCCACCGUAAGGUGAGAGGAAGGUGGGGAUGACGUCAAAUCAGCACGGCCCUUAUGUCCAGGGCUACACACGUGUUACAAUGGUCGGUACAGAGGGCAGCUACCUGGUGACAGGAUGCUAAUCUCGAAAACCGGUCUCAGUUCGGAUCGAAGUCUGCAACUCGACUUCGUGAAGCUGGAUUCGCUAGUAAUCGCGCAUCAGCUAUGGCGCGGUGAAUACGUUCCCGGGCCUU